AAGUGCAUGACACCUCCCUUGCUCUCUCUUCCUCCUGCUCUCACCACAUGUGACAUGCAGGCUUUGCUUAACCUUCUGCCAUGAGCAAAAGCUCUCUGAGGCCUGCCUGGAAGCCAAGCAGAUGCUAGUAUCAUGCCUGUACAGCCUGCAUAACGCCAGAAACCUCUGUGAUCAGUGGCACCAUUACCCGAGUUUUCCUCAGGCCUGCUGGGCUCAUUCCAACAACUCGACCUGGCAGGCCACACUCACCUUGCACUACCAGCACAGAUCCCACACCUGCCAAGGGCGAGUCAGACGUGGAGCAACAAGUGGUGCAUGAGCAAGUGAGCGUGGAGUCGGCCACUGCGCACAGCCAUGCACAUUGGCUGCUGUAGCAGGGCGGGCAGCUCCGGCACCAGCACAGGCACCGGCUCUGGGCAAGCCGGUGGCAGGAUCUGAUGUACAGCAAGUGGCUUCCGCUGUGCGUACCUGUGUCUGGAGGAGGGGAACACAGUGGCACCCAAAAGCUUGGAGACUCCAGAAACUACAGAGCCCCAAAUGGGGUGUCACAGCCUUAGCUCAGGGAGCCUGUAGGUGUGGGCUCCCCGAAGGGCCACAGCUCUUCUCUCCUUCUCACUGCUCACAAUGUCGGGAGUGGAGGGAGUAGAGGUUGGGUACAUUUCAGCCCUGUUUGUGUUACUGUUUUUUCUGUCCUGCCAUUUGGCAGUCCCUGAGUUCUUGUCCCGUGUCCAGGAAGAAUGAGGUAUACAAACAACUGGAGGGUGGGAAGGCAGAACGGAGUUUUACUGAGCAGCAGAACAGCACUCAGGAGACCUACAGUGGGCAGCUCCCUUUCUGCAGGCAGAUCAUCCCAAGGAGUCAAAGAGACUCAAAUUGGGUAGCUUCUUCCUGCAGCUGGUAGUCUGAUGUCUGUGUGAGUCUGGCUGGGUCUGGAGGUUUUUAUGGGCUCAGAAGGGAGGAUGUGUGUGCUGACUGUCCACAGGCAGGCCCAGAAGAAGCACCGCAAGUUUUCACUCCCACUGUGAACUCCACCAGGAACUGACAGCCCAGCCCUGAGGCUGUAGGCUGUCCCUGUCUUCAAGGUGGGGCUUCAGUGGGGACCUGCACCUUUCCACCCAUGAGCCUGUCUGCCUCCUGCUGCCACCAAUCAUGUCAUCUACAGGUGCCCCGGGUGUUUCUGUGGAGGGUUGCCUGCAGGCCCACGUAGAGCAGCCCUCAAUCCUACCCCCUUGGCCUCCCUCCAGUGCUCCUUGGUCCCAAAGUUUGGAAAGGGGUGAGUUGGCAGGGGGCUGGCAUGUCAGCGCCACCGAGUGUGUGCACACCCAGCCAGGUCACAACAGUGCCCAUGCUUGGCCACAGCUUUGCUCCAUCCCGGAGCAGGCACUGGGAGCAGGGUGAGGCCAGACAGCAGGAGCAGGCACUUCCAAGCCUGCUGGGGUAGGGGGACUUCCCGGGCCCCCAAGAGUGUAGGGAUGCCCAGGUCCACAGCUGCAGCCGCUCCUGGAAGCAUGGGGCUCCAACCCCAUUAACGCGGAAGAGGGUGGGGUUCCUGCCUGUUCUCAAAUCCCGCCCACUCCAUGGAGCACACAGUCCUGGCCAUGCCUCCCCUAUUGCAGCAUCUUCACAGCAGCCGCUUCAGACGGGCAGCUGCGGCCAUCAUUACUUCUCUGUAUAGUGGACAAGUAUCUUUCAAAUGUUCAUAUUCUGAAGCCUAAAUCUAGAAUCACAUUUUUUAUAAGAUUGCAGGAACACAGGAAAUAGUGUCUGCAGUAUUAUUUCUAAUCUUCUCAAUUAUUUUGUUCACAUGAUAGAUUUGAUGCUUUCUAGCUUCUGGUCUCACAUGCUAACCUUUGAACAUAAUAAACAAUAAAUUUGUUGUAGUCAUAAAAUUAUUUUUACAUAAUUCUAUUUAUUUUCCGGCUUUGAAAAUAAAGUUCAUUAGUGGAAAGGAACAGGAAGAGGAGCUGCAAGUAUAAUCCAUAAUAAUGUGUAAAAAUUCCAUUUAAAACUUUUCCACUUAGAAGUCACUGACUGUAAAAAAUAGAAAGAUUCCGGUUUUAAAACAAUUAAUACUUGUUCUUUUCUUUAACUGUUCUUGAGUAUAUAUUCUCUGAAAGUUCACUAAUACAGGAUAAAUUUGUGAGAUACAGCAGCUCACAGGUUAUGCAAGAUACUUUUGAUAGGCUGAAGUCAGAUUAAAUAAAAUUUAAAAAUUACAUACUCCAGAAAGUGCUGCCAAAGAGAGGUUUAAGUAAGGCUUUAAAAUGAUCUUUCCUUUAGCAAUAAGAGCUCAGAAUUACAAAAAAAAAAAAAAAAAGUCAAUAAUAAAA